AAAAAAAAGGUCUAGAAGGCCUUGAGGUGGAAAGGAAGCUGCUUCUCUGAUGCUCAGUUCCAGGAGCCAUCUCUUGUCCAGCGGAGUCUGUGGCUUGGCAGCUGGAGGUGUGAGUCACCCCUAAUGGAGGUGGGAGAAUGGAGGCGUGGAGGGAGGCCCAAUCCCAACAAAUCACAUCCAUGUUCACAAGAGCUCCUGCCAACAGCCCCUCUUGGAGCCUGGGGAUCAGCAUCCCACAUGGCCUUCCCUUUGCUGCACUAGAUGCAGCUUCACCUCCCUGCGUUCCCCUGCCAAGUGGGGUCAGCUGCUUGGGCAGUCACUCCAGUCCUGCCCACGCUGCAGAAGACAGGCACUGUGUGUCCCUCCUACAGAUGGAAUGGAUGCUCGUCAGCUGCUGUCAAUGGAGAGACAGGAGGCCCUCAUGCAAACUGGCAGCCCUAGAGGAGAACCCGCCACACCUGUUGGACAGAAACAGUACCCAGAACCCUCAGCCUGCCUCUGCCCGACAAGGCCCUGGCUGCCUGGCCAACUGGCUUGCAGAAGAGGGACAUUGGUCCGAGUCAAGGGGACCAGGUUGGAGGCAUUGCAUUGUCACCUGGCAGUAGUAUGUCUGGGCAACAUGCGUUCUCUCUCUCCCCCUUCCCCUGCUGGCCAGAUGUCCCUCAGAUUCAUCCUGGAUCCGGUGCUGUUCUUCUUUGAGUAUAUGGCCUGCUUCAAGGGGAGACUAAAAUGCAUCUGAAUUUUUAUUUGGAGAGAUCUGAAUUUAUUUUAUUAACAAGUCUGGUCCUUUGGGGCCGAACUUUCCAUUUGUCAUGGAAGUGCCGGACAAAAUCUUGACUCCAAUGUGGUAGAAAGACCAGCUUCCCAAAAUGAACAUCCUAAAUCAAA